rnacentral:sRNA from 1 species
UGAGAGGGGCGGUCUAAUUGCAGCGGUU